ACACAACAUCUUCGUUUGUAUGUGGUGCUGAGGAUCGAACCCGGGCCGCACGCACGCUAGGCUAGCGCACUACCGCUUGAGCCACAUCCCCAGCCUGCAAGGACAUCUUUAUAGGUGGGUAACUCAUUUGAUUUUGGAGUUCCUUUAAUUCUUCUGAAAGAUUUCAAAGCCUCCAGAAUCCAAAAUGGGACACGGUAAACAGAUUAGAAUUUUACUACUGAACGAAAUGGAAAAGCUGGAAAAGACCCUCUUCAGACUUGAACAAGCCAUCUCAUGUGUUACCCCCAAUGCCAACCCUCCUCUUCUUCCAACUUGGUGUGGCACUUAAGAUCACCAAGUACUUACUCCAUUUUUGGCUUUCCUGACUCUGCACUUUUCUGGUUUUGACUAUUUUUUCCUCUUUUCCCUCUUAAUAUUCCUGUCAACUUAAUGUGUCUCACUGGACUCCCUUCUACAUUUUAAUUAAUUGCAAGUAUCUGCUAGGAAUCCUUUUUUUCU
rnacentral:lncRNA from 1 species